rnacentral:rRNA from 1 species
GAGUACCUACGGGACGCAGCAGUGGGGAAUAUUGCGCAAUGGGGGCAAACCUGACGCAGCAACGCCGCGUGAUUGAAGAAGGCCUUCGGGUUGUAAAGAUCUUUAAUCGGGGACGAAUUUUGACGGUACCCGAAGAAUAAGCUCCGGCUAACUACGCGCCGGCAGCCGCGGUAAUACGUAGGGAGCAAGCGUUAUCCGGAUUUACUGGGUGUAAAGGGCGUGUAGGCGGGCAUGCAAGCCAGAAGUGAAAUCUGGGGGCUUAACCCCCAAACUGCUUUUGGAACUGCGUGUCUUGAGUGAUGGAG